GAUCCGCUGAAUGGGAAACACAAUGGCUGUGUAGCGUCCGGCCYGASGCSGACAUGCGCGGGAGUGUGGUGUAAACCGGUGGUGGCCGUGCAGAAGCACGGUGCCGGUCCCGCCGCCUUGUUGGAUCUGUCGGUGUCCUCGGACUGGAUCAGUACUCCCGUCGGCGACGCCCACCUUCGGAUGGUCUCCCGACCCGUCUUGAAACACGGACCAAGGAGUCUAACAUGUGCGCGAGUCAUUGGGUAGCACUAAACCUAAAGGCGCAAUGAAAGUGAAGGCCUUUUUUGUGUGGACGGCCGAGGGAAGAUGGUACUGGGUUUCCUGGUUCCUUGUGUUCCAGGGCCCGGCCCGCAUUCCCGGGGCGUCUCGUCCUCAUUGCGAGGGGAGGCGCACCUAGAGCGUACACGUUGGGACCCGAAAGAUGGUGAACUAUGCCUGGCCAGGACGAAGUCAGGGGAAACCCUGAUGGAGGUCCGUAGCGAUUCUGACGUGCAAAUCGAUCGUCGGAGCUGGGUAUAGGGGCGAAAGACUAAUCGAACCAUCUAGUAGCUGGUUCCCUCCGAAGUUUCCCUCAGGAUAGCUGUCACUCGGAGGAAAAUGAAAUGAGUCUCAUACGGUAAAGCGAAUGAUUAGAGGCCUUGGGGCCGAAACGACCUCAACCUAUUCUCAAACUUUAAAUGAGCCGGAGGCGGAUCACGAGUGCCAAGUGGGCCACUUUUGGUAAGCAGAACUGGCGCUGUGGGAUGAACCAAACGCCGAGUUAAGGCGCCUGAAUCGACGCUCAUGGGAAACCAUGAAAGGCGUUGGUUGCUUAAGACAGCAGGACGGUGGCCAUGGAAGUCGGAAUCCGCUAAGGAGUGUGUAACAACUCACCUGCCGAAGCAACUAGCCCUGAAAAUGGAUGGCGCUGAAGCGUCGUGCCUAUACUCGGCCGUCAGCGGCAUUGGGAGUGGUCGGGGCCUCGGUCCCGGCGCUCGAAGAAGCCCUGACGAGUAGGAGGGUCGUGGCGGUGAGCGCAGAAGGGCAGUGGCGUGAGCCUGCCUGGAGCCGCCGUCGGUGCAGAUCUUGGUGGUAGUAGCAAAUACUCCAGCGAGGACCUGGUGGGCUGAUGCGGAGCAGGGUUUCGUGUGAACAGCUGUUGCACACGAUUCAGUCGAUCCUAAGCCCUAUGUGAAAACUGAUGCCGAUGGGUGGUCGAAAGGUGUUGGCCGAUACCCCCGGCGGGCGAAAGGGAAUCCGGUUCCUAUUCCGGAACCCGGCAGCGGAACCGUUCCGAUUCGGGCCCUCGCGAGAGUGUUCGUCGGGGUAACCCAAAAGGACCCGGAGACGCCGUCGGGAGAUCUGGGGAGAGUUUUCUUUUCUGUAUGAGCGUUCGAGUUCCCUGGAAUCCUCUAGCAGGGAGAUAGGGAAUGGGACGCGAAGAGCACCGCAGUUGCGGCGGUGUCCAGAUCUUCCCCUCGGACCUUGAAAAUCCGGGAGAGGGCCACGCGGAGCAUUCGCGCCGGUUCG
rnacentral:rRNA from 1 species